rnacentral:rRNA from 1 species
GACGAACGCUGGCGGCGUGCUUAACACAUGCAAGUCGAGCGGUAAGGCCCUUUCGGGGGUACGACGAGCGGCGAACGGGUGAGUAACACGUGGGUGACCUGCCCUCAGCUCUGGGAUAAGCCUGGGAAACUGGGUCUAAUACCGGAUAUGACUCCAUGACGCAUGUUGUGGGGUGGAAAGCCUUGUGCGGCUGAGGAUGGGCCCGCGGCCUAUCAGCUUGUUGGUGGGGUGAGGCCUACCAAGGCGACGACGGGUAGCCGGCCUGAGAGGGCGACCGGCCACACUGGGACUGAGACACGGCCCAGACUCCUACGGGAGGCAGCAGUGGGGAAUCUUGCGCAAUGGGCGAAAGCCUGACGCAGCGACGCCGCGUGAGGGAUGACGGCCUC